UACGAAGGGGGCUAGCGUUGUUCGGAUUUACUGGGCGUAAAGCGCACGUAGGCGGAUCGAUCAGUCAGGGGUGAAAUCCCAGAGCUCAACUCUGGAACUGCCUUUGAUACUGUCGAUCUGGAGUAUGGAAGAGGUGAGUGGAAUUCCGAGUGUAGAGGUGAAAUUCGAAGAUAUUCGGAGGAACACCAGUGGCGAAGGCGGCUCACUGGUCCAUUACUGACGCUGAGGUGCGAAAGCGUGGGGAGCAAACAGG
rnacentral:rRNA from 1 species